GGAACUUCAGAAUUUUGACUGCUUACAAUAACUCCACAGGCAACACCUGGGAACCAGCAUUGGAAAGAAAAUAAUCCAUCCUGUGCCAUGGAGACAAGACCAGCAGGCCACAGGCUCUUAGCUGCCAAAGCUGGAACUUGCGCCUCUGCAGCAGAGGUAGGAGGGCCCUGAGUGCACUGUCAGUGGGUUCAAUGCAGCCCCUUAGCCAUUGCUGUCGCCCUGGCCUGUGGCCAAAGCACCCACCAAGCUCCCGCAACAGACGGUGUGUCCAAGACGAUGACCACUAAGGGGUUAAAGGCGGAGAACUGGAGGUCAGAGGAGGCGCUGAGGACUUCGGUGGGAAGAUCCGGGGCUCCAGGGCCAAGAUGCUAGAGGUCGCUUACUUUGCAAGUUAAAUGUGGUCUGGCCAGGAGGAAGAUUCCAGCGCGACCAGUGCACACUUCCCAAAUGCUUUCAUCCUGAAGGAAGUCAGUGGCUGGACCAUGCUAGGAUCUCUUGGCCCAGUGCGGGAGCAGGGCAUGCUGGGACUUGUGGUUCCGCUCUGAACUGCCCUCCCUCCACCCCCCAGUCACUAGGAGUAAGAAUUGGGUUUGGAGGGGGCGGGGGUGAGGGUGGAGGGACGUGUUGGGAGGCGCUUAGCCCUGGAGCGGGCUACUCUGUGACUGCUGGUCUGACUGCUGAUGGUCAUUGGGGAGGAGGGCGUUCUAAGGGAGGCCCCAUGUCCGGACAACCCAAGCUCGUUCAGAACAGGUUUUGCUAAUGGGGAAAGAAAUACACCCAUUGCAUUUAAUGUCACUUUUGUGUGUCUAAAUAUUGUUUUAUGGCUGAUUUUUAUACUUUAGGACAUAGUACUUACUUUAUAAUGGUUUUAUAAAUGCUUACUAAAAUUCAUGCUGAAAAAGGAAUCAAAGCUCUAUUGGGAGAUAAAUGCCACCAUCAUCUGGUGGAACAUCUGUUUGCAACUGCCUUGCUUGCUAAGGCACCUGCAAUAAACUCUGUAAAAGAAUGUCCUAAUUCCUGCCUUAAACAUCUUCCUCUGCAAACAUGCCUGCAGGUGGAAUUUCCUUCGGUGGUCUUAGGGCAUUGUAAACACCUGUGCUGAUAGUCACGUAGGCUGUAACUUAGACCCACCAAUGCUGUAACAGUUAAAGAAUAAUGCCAGGGGACUUAAGAAAACAGUGAAGGAACUAAACUGGGGGUUUGAGUUUUCAGA